rnacentral:rRNA from 1 species
AGUGAACGCUGGCGGUAGGCCUAACACAUACAAGUCGAACGGCAGCACAGUAAGAGCUUGCUCUUACGGGUGGCGAGUGGCGGACGGGUGAGGAAUACAUCGGAACCUACUUUUUCGUGGGGGAUAACGUAGGGAAACUUACGCUAAUACCGCAUACGACCUACGGGUGAAAGCAGGGGAUCUUCGGACCUUGCGCGACUGAAUGAGCCGAUGUCGGAUUAGCUAGUUGGCGGGGUAAAGGCCCACCAAGGCGACGAUCCGUAGCUGGUCUGAGAGGAUGAUCAGCCACACUGGAACUGAGACACGGUCCAGACUCCUACGGGAGGCAGCAGUGGGGAAUAUUGGACAAUGGGCGCAAGCCUGAUCCAGCCAUACCGCGUGGGUGAAGAAGGCCUUCGGGUUGUAAAGCCCUUUUGUUGGGAAAGAAAAGCAGCAGGUUAAUACCCCGCUGUUCUGACGGUACCCAAAGAAUAAGCACCGGCUAACUUCGUG